AAAAAGUGAAGUGAUGAGAUUCCUCACACCUUCAACAUGAAAUAUUCCUCUUCUGAUCGAAGGCACAACUUAUAACCUACAUAUCAAAACAAAGUGUCUUAGUUCUUAUCAGAUUUCUAACCUUCUCUUUGGCUCGCAACUCAUCAAACAUCUGCUGGAUCUCCAGCCUCCAGUCCUCCUGCAACGAGUGGAAAGACUCCAGAGGCAUCUGAAACAUAGCAGACUGCUCGAUGGCCAGCAGUCUCCUCAGGAUGCUGGUGAAGGAAGGUCUGCUGUGCGGGUUUGAGCUCCAGCACUCUGAUGAGAAACAAGAGGAAAACAAACAAGUUCAUUCUGCGGUGUCCUCGGCUGCUCACCUGCCAGCAGCUGAGCAAAAGGUUCAGGGCACGUUGACGGGAUGGGAAGAGUCAGCUUGUUCAUGGCCACACCAUAAGCCACUGCCAGAGCGUCUAUCUCCCUGUAGGGAACCUCGCCUGUCAGCAGCUCCCACAGUAACACACCGAAACUGUGACAGAGAGAGAUGAGAGAGAAGACUCUGAGACAGAUGCUGUACCUCCACACGUCGCUGCUCUUGGAGAAGAGGGAGAGCUUGAUGACCUCCGGGGCCAUCCAGGCGUACGUCCCUGCCGCACUCAUCUUUGUCGUCUGGUGCCAUUCUCUGGCCAAACCGAAGUCUGUGAUCUUCAGGAUUUUCCCCCACAAGUCGUCCCGCUCCACUGGCUCCAAGAUGAGAACUAAGGAGGAAGACAGAGACAAAGAUCAGUGUUAAAAUAUAACUGAGGUGCAAAAGACAGGA